ACGUGACGUAUUGCGACGUAUCGCGACUUUUUUUCCAUUGCCGGUAAUGGGGUGGGCGCAUUUUUGCUAUGAUGCAUCCUGCCCAUGGGCCGGCAGUUUGACACCUGUUAUAAGUAAUCUUUUCUGAAUCCAUUGUUGAUCACCAUCUAAGUUGUAACAAAAACAAAGGAAGUCAGAAGGAAGCAGGGCAUCAACCAGGCAGAAGCAGGUAGCGGUGGCCAAGUCCAGAGGCCAAUUAUGCAAAGCCUCAAGACACUAGAUCAAGAUUUCCAUGGCAACUCCAGACUGUUUCCACAGAAAUCCUGAAGGAUGCUAUGAUCAGUAGUGAAUACAGUUGAGAAGACUUAAGACCAGAAGCAACACAUUCUCUCCCCUCAACUGGGCCAUAACAAAAGUCAUCCAUUAGAGUGAGAUGGAUCAUCUCAUCUUAUGCUUGGAUCGGAAUUCAGAACAAGAAGGCACUAGGAGUGAUUCCAUUAACUUCACUACCACAGAUGUUACGUUCACUGAUGUAUGGUUUCCAGCUUCUUCCUUAUCCCUUCUUAUGGAUGGGUACAACAUUAGCUGUUAACCAGUCAUGGGGAACUUCACCUGUUAGAAAAGACUGGUUAAACAGAUCAGUUAAUGAUCCAGCAAGCACACCUAGAAGCUUCCUCAGAACUUGUAAUGAAUAUCAUCUGGACUUAUUAUUUUAUUAAGCUUUAAGCGGGCUAGCUCACCUGCCACCUCCAAAAACACCGAAAAGAACCUGCAUUGCACGGAUUAGUAGGAUCCUCCAACAUGUUUUAGUUACUGGCAUCUACUUCUGAGAAAACUGUGCAAAAGUAUAAGGAUUUGUAGUGGUAGGUGACAAUGACCUUGAGAGAUAAAGGGAAAAGAUGCUGCCUAGGAAAUAAAAAGAGGGCGGAGCCUGC